rnacentral:rRNA from 1 species
UACGGAGGGUGCAAGCGUUAUCCGGAUUCACUGGGUUUAAAGGGUGCGUAGGUGGGAAUGUAAGUCAGUGGUGAAAUCUCCGUGCUUAACAUGGAAACUGCCAUUGAUACUAUGUUUCUUGAAUCUUCCGGAGGUCAGCGGAAUAUGUCAUGUAGCGGUGAAAUGCUUAGAUAUGACAUAGAACACCAAUUGCGAAGGCAGCUGACUACAGGGGCAUUGACACUGAGGCACGAAAGCGUGGGGGAUCAAACAGG